GGGGUCUCUCAGCUGGAGCUCCCUGUGGUAGUUUUAAAUAUGACCCUAACAUUCUUUGAUACUCAGUACCUGAGAAGCUUGAUUUAUAAGAUGGAAAUCCUACCUUGAACUUAAGCCUGAUACUACAGUGAGAUGGGAUUUGAAAGUUCUUGACAGUGGAAUCAGAAAGAGGGAGACCCUUCUCCAAGGAUUGCAUGAAUGUCUCCAGGAUGUCAGUCACCACUUGACAUGAAGACUUGAGGCCUCUGAGAACUUUGUUGGGUGCUCUGCCCCCGCCAUCUAAGAGUUGAAGGCUUAAUUAUGGUGCACUGUGGAGGAAGGAGAUAAGGCAAAGAAUGGAGCCCACCACCUAAUGAAGACCAACCACAUCCCUUCCUAUUUUGGAGAAGUCUCUCCCAGGGUCAAGUGAGGAAGGAACCACUCCCAUACAGACUACCUUCACUGAGAAGGUGGAGGAACAACAGAGAGAAAAGAAGUCUAUAAGGUCUGCUUAGGCCUAGAGCUGAGAGACAAUGACGUUCCACAUUCAAG
rnacentral:lncRNA from 1 species